rnacentral:rRNA from 1 species
AGAGUUUGAUCAUGGCUCAGGAUGAACGCUAGCGGCAGGCCUAAUACAUGCAAGUCGAACGGUAAAUAUUUUAGCAAUAGAAUAUGAGAGUGACGUACGGGUGCGUAACACGUAUGCAACCUACCCUUUACAGGCGGAUAGCUCGGGGAAACUCGAAUUAACCCGCCAUAAGAUCAUAGAGUGGCAUCACUUAGUGAUUAAAUUCCAAGAGGUAAAGGAUGGGCAUGCGUCUGAUUAGUUAGUUGGUGCGGGUAACGGCCCACCAAGACGAUGAUCAGUAGGGGAACUGAGAGGUUGAUCCCCCACACUGGCACUGAGAUACGGGCCAGACUCCUACGGGAGGCAGCAGUAGGGAAUAUUGGUCAAUGGAUGGAAGUCUGAACCAGCCAUGCCGCGUGCAGGAAGAAGGCCUUCUGGGUUGUAAACUGCUUUUGCCAGGGGCUAAAAAGCUCAUGCGUGAGAAAUUGAAAGUACCUGGUGAAUAAGCCACGGCUAACUACGUGCCAGCCGCCGCGGUAAUAC